GGGGAUGUAGCGCAGUGGUAGCGCGUUCGCUUUGCAUGUGAAAGGCCCCGGGUUCGAUCCCGGCAUCUCCA
rnacentral:tRNA from 1 species